GACGAACGCUGGCGGCGUGCUUAACACAUGCAAGUCGUACGGUAAGGCCCUUUCGGGGGUACACGAGUGGCGAACGGGGGAGUAACACGUGAGUAACCUGCCCACAACUUUGGGAUAACGCUAGGAAACUGGUGCUAAUACUGGAAAUGUGCUCCUGCUGCAUGGUGGGGGUUGGAAAGCUCCGGCGGUUGUGGAUGGACUCGCGGCCUAUCAGCUUGUUGGUGGGGUAGUGGCCUACCAAGGCGGCGACGGGUAGCCGGCCUGAGAGGGUGACCGGCCACCUUGGGUCUGAGAUACGGCCCAGACUCCUACGGGAGGCAGCAGUGGGGAAUCUUGCACAAUGGGCGCCAGCCUGAUGCAGCAGCGCCGCGUGCGGGAUGACGGCCUUCGGGUUGUAAACCGCUUUCAGCAGGGACGAAGCUUUUUGUGACGGUACCUGCAGAAGAAGCACCGGCUAACUACGUG
rnacentral:rRNA from 1 species